rnacentral:rRNA from 1 species
AGAACGAACGCUGGCGGCAGGCUUAACACAUGCAAGUCGAACGGUUGUAGCAAUACAGCAGUGGCAGACGGGUGAGUAACACGUGGGAACCUUCCUAGGGGUACGGAACAACUCAGGGAAACUUGAGCUAAUACCGUAUACGUCCGUAAGGAGAAAGAUUCAUCGCCCCUAGACGGGCCCGCGUAGGAUUAGGUAGUUGGUGAGGUAACGGCUCACCAAGCCUACGAUCCUUAGCUGAUCUGAGAGGAUGAUCAGCCACACUGGGACUGAGACACGGCCCAGACUCCUACGGGAGGCAGCAGUGGGGAAUCUUGGACAAUGGGCGCAAGCCUGAUCCAGCCAUGCCGCGUGAGUGAAGAAGGCCUUGGUUGUAAGCUCUUUUACCAGGGACGAUAAGUGACGGUACCUGGAGAAUAACGCCCGAC